UUAAUGCUAAUAAGUGAUUUAUG
rnacentral:miRNA from 1 species